CAAAAAGUGAUUAAUCAACUCCUCGUUUAAAAAAGACAAAUGAAUACAUUUCUCACCAAUUUUCUCCUAAAUCUUACCCUAGAAAGCCACUGUUGUUGCGCCGACAGACAGUCCUCACCACUUCCAGCCUGCAUUACCCUGUUGAGAAAAAAUCAACCACAAUUUAUUUACCUCUAAAAUAGAGACCAGGUUUUGAAAACUUAAAAAGACAAAUGAACACAUUUGUCGCCCAUUUUCUCCCAAAAUCGUACCCUAGAAAGCCGCUGUUGUUUCGCUGACACACAAUCCUUACCACCUCUUGCCUGCAUCAACCCGUUAAAGAAGAAAUCAACCUCAAUCUAUUUACCACUAAAAUAGAGACCGAGUUUUGAAAAUAUCUCCAUAACAAGUUGAUCCAAAUUUGUAGAUCGAUGAACAAGAUGUGAGCAGCAAACUUCCAGCCACUGUGAAGUCUAGACCACAAUCAUCAUCUGCCAUGAACACAUCAUUUAUACACAUCACUUGAGAGUAAGCAAUUGUUGUGGUUGUUGCUAUCUUUUUGUACCGGUUUUAUAUUUGUGUUCAACGAAAUAAAUUCUUCGUCUCCGUCAACGACAUUUUUUGAUUUUGACAUGGAUUUGUUUUCGUUAUCAUGCUUGUGAUUUUGUAAGGGUUUUACAAUUGCUACUAUUUCCGAUGUAUUGUAUACAAGUCACCAAUUUGAGCUUUAUAUUUGGAGAUUAAAAAUGUUGGCGAGAAUUAUAUUUUCAUUUUUGGGUUUUUCCUUGCUGGAAUCUAAUUUAGCCGUAUUUUGCUUUGUAUUUUUUGGGUUUUCCUUGCUAUCAUCUAAAAAUUAGUGAGAAUUAUACCAAUUUGAGCUUGCAUUUUGCUUGUUCGCUUAAUUCGUGCCACAAUAAGAAAAAUUUUGACAUUAUUUCUCAUGGUUUAAUUAUAUGUUAGAAUGGCUGGGAAGAAUUCUAGAAUUUACCACAGCCGUAGAGGCAAAAGGCACUUAUUCAUCGAAUGCCCGAUUAAAGAACAAUGCCUAUUGUGUAAGAAUAGAUUUUAGAAGUGCUUUGAGGUCGAAAAGCCGAAUGCUAAUAAAGGGAGAUUAAUCACAUGUUGCAGUAAUAAAUGUGGCUAUAGGGAUUGGGCUAUAGAAAGACAGUCAAGCGGUGAAUCCAAUAACGCUAGCUCUACCUUUGUUACACUUGCGACCAAGGAAGCAGUUGAAGAUAUGUUCCACUUGUUAAAAUCUUAGGUUCGACUAAUUGAAGAAGUAGACAUCGAGAUAUCUAUGAAUGUGACGAUCAACAGGGAAAAAGGUGGUGCAGAAGGGAUUGCAAAAGUAAAGGGAUCGAUUUGAUUUGUAGUUAAUUCGUUGAACGUGUUAUAUGCUAACUUAUCUAACCUGGACUUCGUAAGACCUGUUCUAUGAUUGUACUCUAGGUGGACUUUAAUGAUUCUCCAGGAGACAUGCAUAUAUGAAGAUGUAGAUAUCCUGGCUUUAUAAUUUGUCUUAAUUGUCAGUUGCGACUUCAAAGAGCUACUUGUAGUAUCACUUCUUUUGCCUUCCUGACUACAUGUCAACACCAAAUAUUUCAAAAUUCCAUUGUCAUCCUUUUUGAAUUAUGUUUCCUAAUUGAAAAACCAACGGCAUAGGCAUAUCUUUUGUAGAAAUCAAACAUUUCAUUUUCAUUCUUAAAUGGCAUUCCCACCUCGGGCACAAUACCACCAUCUCCUUCUACAAUUUCAUCUUUCAAUUGGUUCAUAUUGUCUUCCACAUUCUGAUAUUCUAAUUCCAACAAAAUAUCAUCAUCCAUGUCAUCCAUGAUUUCUUUAGCUGCGAAAAAUAUAAGUAUUUAAGUUUAGCAAAACAUUAACAUUGUACAAAUACAUACCGAUACAAAUCAUGCUUUUGAAUGUAGAUGCAUGGAUUUGUUUAGCCUUCAUUCCUUCUCAUGAGCUGAAAAUCAAUUACAGAAUAAGUCAAUUAAAAAUAUCAAUUUUGAAAUUUCACUUAUAUUUAACAUCUACAGCAUGAUCAUUGUUCCAAAAUUCACUAUCCUCAAUCUGACGGAAAACAUAGAAAUGUAUGGUUUCAUGUAUGCAUUGAAUUUUGGAUGAUGCAUAACCUAUAUCAUAAAAAUUUUAGAAAUUAAAACAAUGUACUAAAACAAAGUGCUCAUACUCCUGUGUAAUUUGUUGGCUUAUACGUUUACAUUAAGUUGGAGCUGAAAUAUGGGUCAUUCAGAUGAAGCUCGAAGCUGGACUGAAAGAAGAUGGACCUUUACGUUCAGACAAAGCUCGAAUAGAAGAUGGAGAUGAUGGACCUUUACGUGGCAAGGUGUUUUGACUAAGCAGGGUGUACUAAACCAAAGUGCUCAUACCUUCCUAUGUAAUGGGUUGGGUUAUAGGUUUACAUGAAGCUGAAGCUAUAAGAUAUGUCGGUAAAAUGAAGCUCGAAGCUGGACUGAAAGAAGAUGGAUCUGUUGGAAUACUUUCAAAUAUAGGAUUCACAUUCGAUUGUAAAAUUUUACAGGUUAGAUGUAUGACUCACAAUGACAUUAUGAUUAGACCAAUUAUGUUAAAUGAUUAAUUUGGGCUGUUUUACACCUUACAGGCUUUAUUUGAUAUAAUGUUGUAAUUUCAAGUAUGUGGGCCGAAAUUAUGCAUAAACCUUAAUUAAGGUUUAAGUCGAUAAUGGGAC
rnacentral:lncRNA from 1 species